AUUAAAAAAUAAUGUUGGAAAAUGAAAAAAAAAAUGUCAAUUUUUAUUUAUAACAUAUUUUCUUAUAGUUUCAAUAAAAGAUAAAUGUUGUUAUUAACAAAAAACUAACGUAUUCAAAGAACUUAUUAAAUAUUAAAUGUGAUAACAAACUACUUAGAAGUACUUUGUCAAUUUAUCUUAUAAUUAGUAGAGUAUUCACAAGAAAAUCAGUACUAUAGGCACGUACCUCUAUAAUAAGGCGUUUUAUGUGACAACACAUUUUAAAGACUUCCAAAAUUAAUACUCCGACUCAAUAUCAAAAUGGAAAGAAAAAACAUUGGUUGUGUAUUUAAAGAACUAAAAGACAAUGAUGAUAAUAUUGACGAAUUUUCAAGUGAUGAUGUAAGUUUAGUACUUAUCAGUACUAUUUAGUACUAUGACUGUAUGAGUCAUAGUCCAAAUAGUAAUGUAAAAUAUUGUGUAGGUACUUUGUUGCUUUGUUGGGCUGGUGAAGUAUAACGUUUUUUGAAGUGGAAAAUUACUUAUGAAAUACAAUGGGAUAUUUUGGAAAGUUUUAUGUUGAUGAAUAAAGAAAAAUAUUAACUAAAUACAACUGUUUCAAAUGGUAUUAAAAAUAAAU
rnacentral:lncRNA from 1 species